CUGCGACUGGAUAAAUGCAGUAGUUACAGUACAAUAUGGCGAAGCAAUUGGCAGAAUUGAAGAGUAUCAUUAACCUUUUAUCAAUAGCUACGAGAAUAAUGGCAAAAGAUAAAAAAAUAACAUUAAUUGAUGCGGAGACUAAUAUUUCAUAUGAAAUAAUAGUAAAUGAAGAAGAUGCAGAGAAAGUGUCAAGAGAUAUGGUAUUUGCACAAACUUUAUUUUUACAAGCAAAAAGAUAUGCUCAACAGGAAUCAAUACCAAAACAAACAAUAAGUAUUCUUUUUUACUAUCCUAUAUUGCAGAUUUUAUUAAAAAUUUGGAAAGAACUUAAUCAUGCAUUAAUAAUGAUUGUUUUUGGAAAAUUUGUGAACACUACUGAGAAAUAAUCAAUAAUAUUUUUACAGAAAACAAUAAAGAUGCCAAUAAUCUCGGAUCCAGUCAAUUAAAUAAAAACUAAAAUAGCAGUGAAAAUAUUGAAUGUGGUUCAGGAUCACACAACUGGAAUCGUGCAGAAACACUUUUAUUAAUUACCAUUUAUAAAGAAAUGGAAAGUGAUUUUACAUCAGGAAAAAUGACACAAAUGUGUUGGAAUAGAGUUGCACAAAUGAUGCAGGCAGAAGGUGUAAAUAUUAAUGCACAAAAAUGUUGCAUAAAAUACCAAACGUUAAAACGAACUUAUGUAUAAUAAAUGAUCAUAAUCGUAAAUCUGGUAAUUCAAGAAAAACAUGGGAAUAUUAAGUUAUGGAUGAAAUGGGUAAAAGCAAACCAUAGAUGGAUUCAUUGGUUGUAGCUGGCUCAAAUAUUGAAACGUCUGAAACAUCUGAAGAUAAAAAGGAAAAUAGAAAAGAAAAAACAAAUUCAAAGAAAAAGAUUAAUCAUAUUUUAGAAGAAUAUACCAAAAAUUGCUUUAAUGAAAAAAAAAAAAUUGAAACGUGAAG